AAGAAAUUUAUAAUUAUGAUAUUUUAACGGAAAUCGGAUUUAGUUAUUAAGCUUGUAAUUUUUCUGUAAUAUGCAAACCCGUAUUUUUAUCUGAUAAGUCCAAGCCAUAGAGAUUUGACUGUUGUGAUGAGCAUUUAUACCGAGCACAGACGUAGAUACAGUUACGAUGCACUAAAUCGAACGCUCGUGAUGGAAACUGUGAUUAAGUGCCGCCGGCGACACAAGCAGACCACAAAGCGAUAGGGAAAAUCCGCGGGGCGGGAUGCGAUGGUCGAUAAUGAUCGCAGCCCGAGUGACAUCGAUUGAAUUACACUCGGAGUGAGUUCAGAGCAUGGGCAUUGGAACCAGCGUUAGAAGCCCCUCAGAUCACCCAGAUCGGCCAGAUCGCAUCUCCCGCCCGAGGAGUCGGCGCUUAUUUAUCGCGCCUGCAAUCACCGCUGAAUUUCAUUUCAUUAUCAGCGCUCUAUCGACGCGCAACGAUUCUCAAUUCAAUUCGAUUCGAUUCGAGUCCCGAUCGGAAACUAAUUCCCAAACAAGUCAAAACAAAUCACCUCAUGGUGCAGCUGGUGAUCAAGAGUUCCGAAUCCUGUGCUGCAGUUUCGUUUUGUGACCGACACUAACGGGUAAUUGUUUGGCCCCGCAGGAUUACUCGUUUUUGCGAUCACAAAUCAUGAAAUUGCAGACAAAAGCAACAAAAUCGUGGAACCAGUGAAAAUAUAACAAAGUUUGUGUGAACAUAAAAAAGGACUAUAAUUUAAUGUUAAAUUCUUAUUUUUUACGUUACAAAAAAAUGUAAGAUUGAUUUUAAAAUUAAUUGUUAUACUUUUUGUGAUGUAAAGACCGAAAGUAUGAAGGACUAUUACGUAAAACUAAAACAUAAAUUGAACAAAAACAAAUUUUAGUCGAGAAUGGUGAUUUUUUGAAAUAAAUACAAAUUGGAUCAUGAGUGAAGAUCAAAAAUGCACAAAGCAGGAGUUUAUUUCCAGGUGCAUCUAUGCAAAUCAGUGUCGAAAUGCGCAUCCCACCACAUCCUCCAAGGAAAACCUGCGACUGCAGCCGCAUCGAUGCUCAGUGAACUGCAAUAAUUCGAUUUCGAUGCGCAGCUCGGCAGGCAGAAAUCUGGCUGGUUAACUGCUGAAGCCGUAGCAGCAGGAAAAUGCAAAGGAAACGGACAGGCGGAGGGUGUGGGCUGGAAAAUCCAGCCAAGGGAAGCCAUCUACCUGGGCGCCUGCAGCAACCUGCAGCUUAAUUUGUGGCGCAAUGUGUGACGAGGAUAGGGGAAAGGCCUUUGUUGAUUGCGCAGGGGGAUGGAGGGGGGUGGAAAAGAAAAUGACGUGCCAUGAAAUUGAUUGCAAAGUUUUCACCCAAAACUCUCAACCCUCUCAACCAAACAGACUGAAGAGGCAGCUCCUCCAUGGAACUCGGCACUCAGGUGGGCGUCGUCAAAGGUCAAAGCAGCGUGCAUAGGCAAAGCAAAAACUGCCAGCUUUUCUCGACCUCCGACCCUUAACCCUCGAGUGGGCCCGGCUUAUGUUUGCCUUCGCCGUCGAUCGCAUAUUAAAUGAGUUGACGUUCAGGCGCCUGAGAAGGCCCCUAAGCACACCUUAAAAUUGCUCUGUUGCGAGGCAAUGUGGCCGUCAAUUAAAGUGGUUUAUGGCCAAGUUUAUCCGCAGGAUGUGCUCCAAGAAGAAAAGAGCAAGUUGAAACACUCGAUUAAUCAAAUAUAAAAUGUACAGAUAUUGCGGGCAAUAAAGAAUAAUGGCCACCACAAAUCCUAACUUAUAAGUAUAUUUUUUGUAAAACAUUUUCUUCUUGUUUAUUAAUAUUUUGAAAAUUAUUCAACUGUUAAAUUUCAAUAAAAUUAUUUUGAGAAUCCCA